CCCGAGCCUGCCGCGGGAAGCCCUGGACGCCCGCAUCUGCCCCGCCCUCCGCCGCGUCUCCGAGAUGUUCGUGGGCUCAGUGCCUUUCAUGACGGCCCCGGGAGAGGAGUCCUCCCCCCCGCCGCGCCCCGCGACGGACGCAGAGGGAGGGAAGGGCGUCCGUGUGGACGCCGCACGCCGCCCUCCGCUCCUGCUUCGUCUCCUCUGCGCACGGCUACACGCCCUUCAAGUACAAUCGCUUCGACGGCGGCGGCGCGGACUGGGCCCCCGGAGCCUCUGUCGCAGAAGUCUCGCUGUUCGGAGGGCGGCGCGAGGUCCUAGAUGGCGAGAGGGAAAAGGGGCUUUAUUAAAUCAGCUGAUUGAAGAGAGAAUAUGGGGGAGAGAGAGAGAGAGAGAGAGAGAGAGAGAGAGAGAGAGAGAGAGAGAGAGAGAGAUUGAAGAUUGAAUA